GCGGGGAUUGGGCCCGGGGGGGGGGGGGGCGCCAAGCUUUGGCUGCUGGUUCCUUCAGCAGCGCGGCCAUGACACCCCCCCAACCCCUCCCCGGCUGCGGGUUCUUCUCCAUUGGCCUUGCUCGCUCCACUCCUGCCCCGAGCGAUGCUCCCCGGCCGGCAGAGCGCUCCCGGGCCGGGGGGGCAGGACUAGUGCGGGGCCUUUUGUCCCAGUGCCCCGACGGGCUGCCUGGCUCGGGGCUGCUUCAUUUACUUCUGAAUUGCAGCCCCCUCUGGGGUACCACACGGGCUCUGUUUAGCAGCCCCUCCUAACGUCACGUGACCAUUCGGGCAGCUCGUUGAAAUAUGCUGCCUGUGAAUGUUAGUAGCUGAAACCGUUUUAAAUAGGUUUCAGAGCAGCAGCCGUGUUAGUCUGUGUUCGCAAAAAGAACAGGAGGACUUGUGGCACCUUAGAGACUAACCAAUUUAUAUGAGCAUAAGCUUUCGUGAGCUACAACUCACUUCAUCGGAUGCAUUCAUCCGUUUUAAAUAGACAUUUUCUCUCCUGUCACUGCUGGUCUGUUCCUGACAGUUUAGUUGUGGGAUCAUAGAAGUGUACUUAAUCCCUGUUUGGUUUAUACCAUCUCUUACCUUCUAGGCAGCAGAUGGUUUGGUGAAAGUUCAGGUGGCUUUGGGGAACAUUGCAAGCAAAAGAGAGAGGAUUAAAAUUUUGUAUAAGAAAAGAUUGUGCAUUCUACCCACUGUGAUCAGAUCCCCCUAGAAAUCUGCAGCCCAUCAGGCCUGGUGUCAUCAGCAAGGGGUAGUACAUGUUCAGUGUAUGUCUACCUGCAGAAAAUCAUGGGCUUUGACUUCUCACUGGUAUUGGAGCUUAUUACUCCCCGCUGCGUCUAUCAAGGACAACUCCGAUUGCAAGCAACCUUGGGAUUUUUAUAUCAGAGGAGAGAUGUCGCAGAAACGGCAUGCUGUGCCUGGAAAGGACGUAGUGGUGCCACUUCAGCACACCCUCGGCCAGCUUCAGAAAGCAAGACUUGCGUGUGUAAAGGAAAGACAUUUCAGAGGGCAGGAGAAGUAGCAGGCCACAUGAUGGAAAGGGAGCACUCUGUGCCUUCCCUUUAAAGAAUGAACUGUGACCUCUGCAGUUGAAUUUAAAAUUGGCUAAUGUGAUACUUAGCAGUUGAAGAUUUAAUAAAAUAGCUGGAUCCUCAGUACAUUGAUCGAAUGGCUGUUCUCGAUGCCAUGAAACUGCAGUUCAUCUUAGCAGGCACGUCAUGAAAUGAAAGGAGUAUGCUCAUUCCCCAAAAGCUCUCAAGACAAGCAGGGUGAGGGAGAUCAUAACUGAAUGCACCUCUCCAUCUCUCUUUUAAUCAUGGGCUUAGGACAGAAAUGCCUCAUUUGGCUUCUCGUCUUUCCCUGUAAACUGGCCAAUGCUUCAGUAAAAGAUCAGAACUGGAGAAACUACAGUAUGAAUUGUACAGGGAAGAACAAGCCUGGUUCGGUCCCCAGUCUCUGGCUCCCUGGCAAGCACUUGGAAUGCAACUGGCACUGCGGAGCUAGUUCCUGCAUGAGGAGUGCUUUUCUUGCUACCAAAGGCCUUCCCUGAAUGAGUAAUGGACCUUGACUCUCUCUGAGUCUGUCUAGCCUUUGGUCAGAAGCUUUGGGGGCGGGGAGGGUGGAGAAAGGGCAACAAUUCCACACACCCCAUGUCUAGCAACUGUUAUGGUAACAAAACUGCUCUUAUGAACACUGAAGUGUAUAUAUUGUGAUGUUUAAGUAUUGAACUUCUAACCCUGCUCUGCUCUCUGACAGGGGACCUGAGUCGCCCCUCUCCUGUGGUAGGCAUGUGUAAAUCCAUUGUCUCCAGUGGCGUUGUCCCCGAUUCUUAUUGGUAGGAGCAGUUUAUUCUUUCCCAAGCUGCCCUUCUGGAACAGGUGAACAACCUCCAGCCAUUCUUGGACAGUGCACACAUAGAAUCAUCAUAGAAUAUCAGGGUUGGAAGGGACCUCAGGAGAUCAUCUAGUCCAACCCCCUGCUCAAAGCAGGACCAAUCCCCAACUAAAUCAUCCCAGCCAGGACUUUGUCAAGCCUGACCUUAAAAACUUCUAAGGAAGGAGAUUCCACCAUCUCCCUAGCUGCUCCUGACCAUGCUGCCAAACUGCAGCGACUUGCUCAAAUCCACAUACAGCAGCAGGCCGAGAUCCCGAUGGCAUAGUGAGGCAGUGUGGCCUCCUUCCGACGCAGAGAGGGAGAGAUGACCACCACCCAACUACAGUCCCCUUCCCAGUUCAGGCAGUCAGAGUUUAUUACAAGCAACAAGUCCAAGAUAAUGGAACACCGGAUGUAUCAACAUCUACACGCAGACAUCAGGACCAUGUUUGACGGCAUGCUCCACACAGCUAAAGAAAUCAUGGAGAAGAGCUACACCCCAGGAGAGAUGUGCCACCAGUGAUUCUGGCGAAAUGUCACAGACAUAUGAACUUGGCAGAACAGAGGGGAGACCGUCACUGGAGACCAUCGUUCUUUUCUUUUGCAAACUUUCCAGCUACUAUUUCACAGGUAGAGCGCAUCUGUCCACUCUGUAGAUUCUCUUGCACUGCUUUCAAAUGCCCUCAUUCAAAAACCUUCUCAAGAACCAGUUCUCCAGUGAUGGACCUACAGUGUUAGCCCACGAAUUAAGGGUGGGUCAAGGGGCAGCCAGGUAUGGAGAAUAUGCAUUUUGAUAAACUGCUCUGGCUAAAUGAGUCAUUGGAGUGGAGGACUGGACCCAGUGUCCCUGUGCCUCAGUGGGUCACAGCUGACAGUGCCAAAUUCCAGACAAACCCCUGUGAAAUAGGGCAGGCUCACCCCAAACUGGUGGUGGCUCUCUCUUAUUGGAGCAUGCCAAACCAGUAACAAAAGUAAACUUCUUCUGUCUCGCCACACUGGUCAACAAGAAGUCAAAAAUGCAGUGUCCUCAGACACUCCAGCCCUUGUCUCACCACCCAGAUACUGGAUUCUAUGAUGAGUGGUUACUGAAGACCAGUUUAAUCAAACAUAGGGUCCUUCUAAUCUCAAUAGAUCAGCCACUUAGCCUGGUCAAUAUAUACCUCAGAUCUUACCCAUAAUCACACUGAUUCCAGUCCUUGAGUAACUAAAAACUAAAGUUUAAUCAUAAAAGAAGAAGAAAGUUGGCAAUUAUUUGUAUGUAUAUGAUUUAUUAACCAUUAACAAGUCCUUAUAUCAGGUUUGCAGCAGUGAUGGAAUAGACUGCUGGCUUGGAAAGUCUCUCUGGUAACGUCCAAAAAAUUGGAAGGUCUUCAGUCCAUAGUUCAAAAUGCUCCUUUUAGUUGUAAAUCCAGUCCAGAGAAUCAGGGCAGGAAAGAGGCAAAAUGGAGAUAGCUCCAGGGUCUUUUAUACCCUUUGCCACAUGCCUGGAAAUGUACUGUCUCUACUUGGGGAAAGGUACUGGCCUAAGAUGGAGUCCAGGGUUACAUGAGCAUAUCACAUGUCCUUACAUAGCUUGAUGACUCUCGGGGUAGCCAUUGCCCAUAUUCUUGCUGAGGUGUCCACAGGAAGAGCUAUCUGGGUGGAGUGAGUUUCUUCUGUGUCCCAUUGUGAGAGCUAAGUGUCCUUGAUGUGCCAUCAAUAGAUAGCUGUCUGGCCUUAAUGUCUAUUUUACCUGGUGGGUGUUACCUAGGAAUACGAUGCAGCCGAUGAAAUGAGCUUUAGCUCAUGAAAGCUUAUGCUCAAAUAAAUUUGUUAGUCACUAAGGUGCCACAAGUCCUCCUUUUUCUUUUUGCGAAUACAGACUAACAUGGCUGCUACUCUGAAAUACGUAUGUAUGUUGCCAGUGCAUAGCCAAUAUUCAUAACUUCUGAUACAAAAAUGAUACAUGCGUAUAAACAGGAUCAUCAGACUUAGCAAAUCAGAAUUUUUCCACUGACACCUUACGUGCCCUACUUUGUAGAAGAUUUGAGGCAAAAUUGAGCAGGGGGUUGGACUAGAUGACCUCCUGAGGUCCCUUCCAACCCUGAUAGUCUAUGAUUCUAUGAAUAUCAAUGAUAUAAAUGGUCAUCUUAUUACACAGUGUCACACCCAGGUCUCUCGCCUCCCAGGUAGACUCCCUAACCACUAGACUACAGACUCAUUCUCCCUCAGGCUUAGGUUACAGUUCAGCACAUCUCCAAGGCAAUCUCUCCCUCUGGGCAAUGUAACUUGUGCCCCAAAGGGUUUUGCUGUGGGCAUGGCUACACUCGAAAGGUCAAAGCUCUGCCAUGGGAGUGCUCCUGCGGCAGUGCUUUGAAGUGUGAGUGUGGUCACACGCCAGUGCUGGGAGAGAGGGCUCCUGGUACUCCACCUCCCCGGGGGACAUUGUUUACACUGGCAUGUUACAGCACUGUAACUUGCUGCGCUCAGGGGGGUGUUUUCACACCCCUGGGCGAGAAUCUUGCAGCGCUGUAAAGUGCCAGUGAGCCAGAGCCUGUAUCUGAGUAUCUGCCCUUAACUUUUUCAACUGGAAUUCUACAGUGGGAAAAUUCCAGAAGAGAGACUUGCUUGUAAACAGAACAUACAAAGCUAUCAGGCCUCUUCUCUAACAACCCUGCACCAGCUUAAGGAAGUUUUUCAGCUGCGGUGGUAAUUUUAUCACUACACAUUUCUAUAGUACUUUGUGUCUGAGUACCUCAAAGUGCUUUACAAAUAACAGCUAAUUGGGGAGGUAACUCCCUUCUCUUCAUGUGUCAGUAUAAUAGUGCCUGCAUCUCUAAUUUUCACCCUAUGCAGCAGAAGAACUGGUUUUUUUUACCCACGAAAGCUUAUGCCCCAAUAAAUCUGUUAGUCUUUAAGGUG